rnacentral:rRNA from 1 species
UACGUAGGGUGCAAGCGUUGUCCGGAAUUAUUGGGCGUAAAGAGCUCGUAGGCGGUCUGUCACGUCGGCUGUGAAAUCCCGAGGCUCAACCUCGGGUCUGCAGUCGAUACGGGCAAACUAGAGUAUUGCAGGGGAGACUGGAAUUCCUGGUGUAGCGUUGAAAUGCGCAGAUAUCAGGAGGAACACCGGUGGCGAAGGCGGGUCUCUGGGCAAUAACUGACGCUGAGGAGCGAAAGCGCGGGGAGCGAACAGG